UAAAUACACAGAUAUAGAAAUUGUUUUCAUAUGGAUGACCUGGUCUGUGGUAAUAGAAGUUACAAUCAAAUUACCCGUUCUGGCAUAGGCAAUGAUGCACGCCAUUACAAUGCACUUUCUCUCAAUCCAGAAACAGACUGGGAGGUCACACCAAUACUGCCUGACGUGGCCUGCUUUCCUUGCCACUCAUACCCUCCCAUUAAUUUGCACUGACAACCAAAUGGAAAACAUAAAAAAAUAAAAGCAAUAUAGCAGAUUCCUCCUUUUUAGAGAUCUUUCUACUCAUCUUAUUGGACAUUAUCAGUAAGGAGACAAGAAGAGGAAGCCAGUCUGGGCUAUCUGGACACCCACUGGUUCAGUUACUGCACUUGUGAUACAAGUAAUCAAUCAGUAGUUUAAUCUACUGUAAUAAGGUGUGAUGUGUAAGACAUCUCCCUUCAAGCCCUUAUUCUAGUCAUGUCAUCCUUCUCUAGUUGUGUAUAUGCUUUAUGUAAUGUGUGUCUUUCAAUCAAUUUAUUUCGAACACAAGUUUACACUGUACUUGUCAAAGAAUGUUUUGCAUUCUGUAGAAUGUGUAUAUGUGUAUAUGUGUGUGUGUGUGUGUGUGUGUGUGUGUUUCUUUGAGUGUGGGUAUUCAACUCAAAGGUUGGUCUGAACAUGUCAAUGUACCCUGGCGUCACGUGUUUUGAUUGGUUGUUCCUCGGUCCUGUUCUGUAGUCAGAAGCAUAGGGCCACGUGGCUUCCCAUAACAGGGCUCCAUCUCAUCAGUCCUGAAGAUGCAUACUCUCUGCGUCUUAUUCUCCAUUUGAUCUGAAAGAACUGGACUGGUGAAACAUUGUCUGAUGGAGAAGAAACCAGAAUAGGAAGCCACAGUAGUCUAUAGGACUGGAGGGUUUAGCACAAAGUAGUGGACAGAAGAGGUGUAUAUCUAGGGUGUAAUCUCUAAGGAAACAGAGGCUGGCCUGUGGUUUUGUUAAUGUCCCACGCGGUAAAGCCUUUGGCAAGCCUUACUUGGGGAGUACUAUCGGAAGAUGUUGCCCCUGGCUGCUGAUCUAUGGUCAGUUUUUAUUUCAUUUUAUUUUUGCACCUGAGAAGGCUGAGAUGGAUAGACUGAUCCUGGGUCUGUGGCUACGGACAACGUCUACCCGGAGCCUAGGGGAUGGCACUGUGUACAGACAUAUCAGAGAAAAUGUUUAUCUAAUUAUGACAGAGACCUCCAGAGAGAACUGCCCCCAGUUGUGACCCCUGCUGAUGUAAAUAUAGAUAGACUUUAUUUUGUUUAUAAGAGCCUGUGUAAUUUAAAGGUGUACAUUUCCUGUAUGUUUUCCAAGUUUUGUGGAUUGUUUUUUUGGAAAAUAAUAAAUUGGUUGUUAUAUUUGUGCCCAG
ensembl:lncRNA